CGCUACAGCCAUACCAUCCUGAAUGCAUCUGAUCUUGGAAACUAAGUCUGGUUAGGGCUUGUAUGGGAGACUGCCUGGAAAUACCAGGUGCUAUAGGUU
ensembl:rRNA 5S_rRNA 5S ribosomal RNA